GUUUUAAUAAUUUAAUAAAAAUAUUGGUCUUGUAAACCAAAAAUAAGGAAACCAAACCUUUUAAAACA
rnacentral:tRNA from 1 species